GAGCAGGGGGUGAAGCAGGGGCCAGGACUGAAGCCCCACAGGGGGCGCUGCAGGGGCCUCGGAUGCAGUGCAAGCCUCUGUGGGCGGCACAUCAGCUGCCGGGACUGGAGCCUUUGUGGGUGGUAGGUCAGGUAUGAUGGGCAGAACAGGCAGGUCAGGCAUGAUGGGUAGAACAGGCUGGUUAGACAGCACAAGAUCAGGCGGGUCGGGAACAUUAGGCGCUGGUGGGUCAGGAACCGAUAGAGCAGGAACUGUGGAGGGCCUUGCAGGGACCUCUGACACAGGAACAGCAGGGGGUGCUGCAGGGCCCGCAGGGGGCGCUGCAGGGACAGCUGGUGCAGGAACCUCCAAGGCCGCAGCCAGCACGGGCGGUGCGAGUACCAUGGGGGGCAGAGCAUCCACUGCCGGUGAAGGGGAAGGCACUUCAGGUGCAGGCACAGCCUCACCUGUCGAGGGAACCUGCUCUGUCCUCAACCGGAGACGGCUCCGCAGGUUCUCUUUCAAUUAGUCCAGCUUGCGUGGUGAGGAAGUUGGGCUGAAGGCUGCAAACUCCCCUUGCAGCUGUGUACACAGCUGGGUAGCCUCUGGGGACUCCUGUACUGUUGCAUUCUCCAGCACCGUCCAGAAAAGACCCUGGAGGGUGAAGAACGUCCCAGCCAGGGACGUAAUGGCGGGCAGAUGAGUCUCUGGCUUCCUUUCAGGGGCAACGGCAGCAAUGCGAGCUUUAGGCGAUCGCUCCAGCGAAGCUGCAGUGAUGACGUCACUCGCAAACGCCUCCGGAUUUGGAAUCGGGAGGAGUUCCUCCUGACAUGUGCAGGGCAUGCAGCGGAGAUAGAGACGACCUGCCUCAGAUUUGCUUCAGCCGCCCCGCAUCUCAGCUGUCGCAGGUUGUUGUUCACUUUCUCCAGGAAUUGAGAGUUGUCAGAUGGGGACAACUCGUCUAACAUGUCCCUUGUCCAGAGGGCGAGAGCUUGCAGCCCGGGGUCCUUUUUAAUCUCGGUCUGAUCGCGCUAAUAAAGAGCCUCAUCAGCCUGAUUGAGGUAUCGCUCCUCGAUCCGAGCAGGCGUCUUCUUGUUCAAGAGUCCUGUCAUUCUGUGACGUCCGUGUGCAGGGCGAGCGAGCAGGGUGCGGGGAAGCAGGGUUAGGCACACAGAGAUCCAAACAAGGGGGUUUAUUAGCCAAAGCGAGCAACGGAGAACAACACGUCAGACACUUCAAUGACAGUACUGGGGAAACACUCGAAUGCAGACUAAAUACACAUUAUUAAGGGACGGAAAUGCAGAACGGCUGAGAAGAAUCAGGAAUUCACAUGAGUGACCUCAGGUUGAGUAUCUGCAGAAAGUGAGUAUUUAAUAAAUAACUUCUAUACUGUACCAGACUCACUAGUGGAGUUUGAGAAUACUUUCAGGUCGAAGCUGGUUGAUGUAAUUUGAAUGGUGUGUCACAAGUCAUAGAAGCACCAUAAAUUACAGUGUCUGACAUAACGUAGCACCAUCUGUGGUACACACUUGCAGGGAUCUGACUCUCAGUGAGUUACAUUACAACCACAUUCACACCAGGGCAGAGACAGAGAGCCUUGUUAAUAGAGGGUUCCUUGUGUGCUUUCCUGAUCUUAAGAGUGAUCCCUAAUCCCUGUUUAUCUCCAUUUCACAGGUAAAUUUAUUUGUUUAAGUUAAUUACUAUUCAACACAGAUACUACGGAACUGGAAGAAGCAUUUAACAAACUGAAUGUACAAUGUACACUACUGUUCAAAAGUUUGGGGUCACUUAGAAAUCUCAUUGUUUCCAAAAGAAAAGUAAUUUUUUUGUCCAUUACAAUAACAUCAAGUUAAUCAGAAAUCCAUUGCAGACAUUGUUAAUGUUGUAAGUGGCUACUGCAUAUAACUAAAAACGUAACACCUACACUGGCAUACAGAGGUCCAUUAUCAGUAAGUAUAUCAUCAGGCCCAAGGCAAAUUUGAUCAUUAGAAAUCCCUUUUGAAAUUAUGUUAGCACAGUUGAAAACUGUUGCAAUAAAACUGGCCUUCUUUAGAUGAAUUGCGUAUCUGGAGCAUCAGCAGUUAUGGGUUUGAUUGAAGAUCCAAAAUGGGCAGAAAUAAAGAGGUGUCUUUUGAAACACUUUCAUGUAUUCUUGUUUUGAAAUACGAAGGCUAUUCCUUGGGAAACGUCUAAGAGACCCCAAACUUUUCAACGGUAGUGUACUUGAAGAUUAGAAAAACCAAUAUAAUGUCCACUGUGAACCACACUGUCCCAUCUAAAUGUUUCCUUUGAACCACACUCCUAGGCUGAGGCUCCCACUGCCCCAGGUUCCUGACAGUCAUGAUGUCCAAAUGGAACCUGGACUCAACGGAUUUGAGUUGAACUUUUACUGUAUGCUUAAAAAACAUGGUUAGCAUUUGGGGCCCAAGCAUUUUGGCUCACAGUGGUGCCCUCCCUAGUCAUUGUUCCUGUUCUCAUUUUAUCCUUCUAUCUGUAGAGUCUCAUUGAUUCAAAGUCUUCAGCAAGCCUCAGCUGCUAGGCUCACCAGUGGUUUUCAGCACAGCCUUGCCCUCAAAUCAGAGAUAGGAAAGGGAAGCGCUAUCUUCCACUUUCAAAAGGUUUUCAUCAUGCCGGAGUAACAGGGCCAUCAGGGGACCUAUGUGACCAGUCAGGGCGUGGGAAGAUGAUCACCAUGGUACCAUGUCUAGGACAACAGCACUGCAGUUACACCUGUGGCCCUGCUGUUUGGCCACAAUUAUUCCACCUCUUGCAGAACGCAGCUCUGACAAGGUCCUUAGCCACAGAGUGGCCUGUGUGAACUGGGUUGUCUAAUCUGGUUUGAAGCUAAGCAGCAUGAAGUCUCUUCCAAGUACAUAAAUGGUAAGGAGAAUUUUGAGGAUAUGUUUGUGUAAAUGCUAGAAAAUCAUUAACUGACAUCAUAAAACUGACCAAGUUCCAAAUAUGAGUCAUGCUGAAGAAUGUGUUGGUGUAAUAAAACAAAUGACCUAAUAUCAGGUCAGACAUUGAGGCCAAACCACUGAUUAGACCCAGAGCUCUACCACAACUUGCUUUUUGUUGACUGAAUGUACAUUUUUGUGUUGCCUUCCAUACCAGGUUUUCAAAAGUGCACUGUAAUUAGGAAUUAAUUGAUAACACAGGAGUAUCUAACUACAUGACAAAAAAUUCUCCCCCUAACAUGUCUACCUUUAACCCACCCAUAGCCAGGGCAGUUCUUUCUUUCUUUCUUUCUUUCUUUCUUUCUUUCUUUCUUUCUUUCUUUCUUUCUUUCUUUCUUUCUUUCUUUCUUUCUUUCGUUUUCUUUCUUUCUUUCUUUCGUUUUCUUUCUUUCUUUCUUCCUGUAAAAAAUUGUAUAUGCUAUUUAGCUAAAGUAGAGAUUUGUUUAUCUUUAGGUAGCACUAAUAAAUAUAAAAAAUAUAAUAAAUCAAUGAUAAUAACCCUGCUUCCAAUGCACCUGUCAUGUCAUGAAUCAAAGUGCCACAGUGAGGUAGAUUUCACACUUACCCCUUGUGGCAAUGGUAGAAUGUCUCUGCAGUGGUGCACAGACAUAUGGUUAUUUGCCAAGCCUUAUGGUUAACUGUAAUAUAUUGUGAUAGAAGACUACUUACGGAAGAGAGACAACAGACACGGACUCUGUGAGUUCACUUGUUUCUUUUUACUACUACUUCCACACAUCCGGUCACACACAAUACGUAGAAACAAGGAGGCGUGGUUUAUACGUAAAUGUCACUCAGGAAUCUAUUACAUUAACCGUAAGUAACUAAAAAAAACAAGACUUUUGACAUGUUACCUACCAUGCUUGUCCAUUAAUGUAUUAGUGCACUCUUUGACACCUGCACUCUCUUCCUUUCUUCCCACAUGUCUGGAGGGUGCCCGAGGGGGCACCUUCUGAGCUGCCAUCAGGGUCUACGGAAGGGUGCCCUCACAGAUGUGACCUGUGAUUUAUGAUGUCGGUGCAGCUUCCAUCCUGCCACCCGACACAGGCCUAUGUGGAGGACUGUCUCACUGAUGGACUUUAACUAGGACCGGAUCACAGUUUACACCUUGCUCUUAGCAAACAAUCCAGCUACUUCUCUACCUUUGUCCAGUAAUGUUAGCAUGUCCAGGGGGGUUGGGCUGCCAGUUGACCUUGGACCCCCAGAGGUUUUUUUUCCCCCUACUUGGGAGUUUUUGGAUCCUCUCCUCUGCUGUCAUCUGACUUUCUCUUUUAUUAUUCCAUUUUCACUGUUUCUGUGUUCUGUCGUUAUCUUUGUUAAGGAUGUUCCACAACACACUCCUGUAAAGUGCAUUGGGGCAACUUUGUUGUGAAAUGCGCUAUAUAAAAAUAAAUUGAAUUGAAUUGAAUGUUUAGUUUUUUGAUUGUAGUCACAGACUUCUAUAAAAUUGAGUCUCCCUUUGUGUGGACUGGAAAAAACGGUCCCCGCAAUGACAAAAUAUCAGGUUUUUAUCACAUUGUCAGGACAUUUGGUCCCCACAAUGUAAUAUGUACAUGAGAGACACACAAACGCUCACACCUAUGGAUAAUUUGGUAUUACCAAUUCACCAUAACCUGUUUUUUGGGGGGAAACAGGAGAACCUGGAGGAAGCACCACUACAGUAUGACAUGAGAAGAAUGUGCAAGGUCCACACACAAGGAGCCGGUCCCAGACGUCUGAGGCGACAAUGCUAACCACUGUGCCGCUUCACCCCUCUGUUCCAGCCUGCAUUGCAGGUUGGUAUACUCAGCUCUCUAGUGAUUAUGGCCCAUGCAGCUUCCAACAGUAUCUUGCGUCCUGCAGACACUCGUAUGUGUGUCUAUGUGCACAUGAUUUGCUAUCUUUGUGAUGGGGAAUUUGUAGAACAUGUUCUCAGUCAGAUAGCAGAACCUGAAAAAACAGGCACUCUGGGAACAUACAAAACAUGUGCUUAAACAGCUGCUGAAAAGAAAAAAGUGAAGUAGCACAGUAGGUUUUUUUUUAAUCCCUCUGCAAUCUGUUGGAUUGGGGCUAGGAAUCAUCAAUGGCAUUACCUGGGGAAUCCCAUGAGGGUCUAUGUUUGUGUAUUGUCCCAUAGGGAUCUUGGGUCUGGGAAUUCGGUUUAUGGUGCAGCCAUCUCGUCUUCAUGUAAUCAUGCCCCCCCCCCCCAAAAUCUGGACUCAUCCGGUAACCUUUUCUCCAGUGCCAAAAUACCUGUCCUGAAUUGUGGUUUGAGCAGUUUGCCUUGAUUUUGGAUUCUCUUCUGAAUGAUCCUUUUUAAUUUAGACUGAUUUUGCCUGAUCUAUCUUCUUCUGGCUUUCAGCAAUUUUUAUAUGUGAUCUGAUUUUAUAAAUUAAACUGAGAUUGUAUCCUGUUUAGUGUCUCUGUGGCAGUAUAAAGUGAUACCUUUAAAAAUUAUGUACUAACAUUAAAGAUGAGCCCUUACUUACUGAAACAUAUUUACUGAGAUUAUUCCAGGAGAGUAGACAUCUUUUCGAUGUCUUACUCUAUUAUGCUUAAUUAGUGGACUUGUCAAGUUGAUUAGCAAGCAAUUUGAUAGAUACCAACAUUCUACAUUUUACUGUACCCCUUAAACAAAACCACAGCUUUGUUUUCAAUGGUCUGAAGUCCCAGAAGGGAAACGCUGAGUGAAUAAAAUGUACCAUGUACCAGAAAGGGGAGAAUCGUCAUUGGAUUGGGGCAGUGAUUCCCCAGGAAUGCUGCAGGAACAGUGCUUUGGCCUUUUCAAACUGUGCCAGAAGUGUUUAAAGUCAAAUGCUGAUCAUCAGCAGUGAGUUCAGGAUGUCAUAACUGAUUUCAUGUAACCAUCUGACACCAGCAAACCGAGAUUAACCUAAA